rnacentral:rRNA from 1 species
AUUGAACGCUGGCGGCAGGCCUAACACAUGCAAGUCGAGCGGAUGAAGGGAGCUUGCUCCUGGAUUCAGCGGCGGACGGGUGAGUAAUGCCUAGGAAUCUGCCUGGUAGUGGGGGAUAACGUCCGGAAACGGGCGCUAAUACCGCAUACGUCCUGAGGGAGAAAGUGGGGGAUCUUCGGACCUCACGCUAUCAGAUGAGCCUAGGUCGGAUUAGCUAGUUGGUGGGGUAAAGGCCUACCAAGGCGACGAUCCGUAACUGGUCUGAGAGGAUGAUCAGUCAACCUGGAAAUGAGACACGGUCCAGACCCCUAGGGGGGGCAGGAGGGGGGAAUUUUGGAAAAGGGGGGAAAGCCUGACCCAGCCAUGCCGGGUGGGUGAAAAAGGUCUUCGGAUUGUAAAGCACUUUAAGUUGGGAGGAAGGGCAGUAAGUUAAUACCUUGCUUUUUUGACGUUACCAACAGAAUAAGCACCGGCUAACUUCGU